rnacentral:lncRNA from 1 species
GCGUCAGCGCCGCCGUCGACGCCGUGUUCUGGCGCCUCUACCGCGGCUCGCAGCCGUACUGGGCGCCCAACCGCCGGAUGGUCGACGACGAGUACCGCGGCGCCGACUUCCCCUUCGACCCCGUCGACGGCGAGGCCCACACGGGGCCCUUCGAGUUCUCCACGGAGCGGGCCAUGGACCUGGAUGGCUACCUCACCUACAUCACGUCCUGGUCGGCGUACCAGACGGCCAAGGAGAAGGGCGUCGAGCUGCUCGACGAGGCGACGGUGCAGGAGUUCGCGGCGGCGUGGGGCGGCGAUGGGAAGGAGGUGAAGGCGGUGACGUACCCAAUCUUCCUCAGGAUUGGCAAGGUGAGGGCCGAAUGAUGCACGAAACAAGUUGACGACGGGUGCGAGACGACAGACGACUACUCGGAAUAUAUUUGUGCUGAUAACCUUUCUGUAGAAGGAUUUGUUUUGUAUUGACUGUACUACA